AUAUUUUUGGAGCUGCUGCAACAUUUUUCUCUGGAUAUUACUCUCUAUGAACGCCUUCUAAUUUGGUUGUAAAAUGGCUAUUCAGGGUUUGUUAGCAAUUACAGAGACUAUAAUGUACUUUGUGGUUGGUAUAACAGGACUCGUCGCAGCUAUAACAGUUGGAAUUUCAAGAGAUGCCUUUAGCAGUCAGUGUAUCCUCUACAGUGAAAUCAAAUGGUGUAAUGAUACAGCAAUGGGUUUCACAGACCUGGGAAGCAACACAGCAUGUUCAUUUGCAGUUGGCAUUGAAGUUAUUGCUUCUUUAUAUGCCAUUUUGUUUGGCAUUUACUAUGUUCUCAUCAUCAUUGGCAAGGUUGAAGGAUGGAAAUUUCUAACAAUUCCCAGUAUCAUCAUCAAUGUGGCUUUCACAUUGGUCUUAUUCGUUGAAUCUUGCAUCGUCAGUGUUGGUUUUAAGCAGUUCUGUGAUGGACUCACUUCAGGGCCACAUGUAAAGGAUUGUUCGAAAGGCUCCAAAAUUUCCAACUGGAACAUACACGGACAUUGUGCAGAGAAGGACAUUACCUUCAAGCAGCAUGACCCAUACAGUGGAGAUCUGUAUUUUGGAUUCUUCACAACGGGCCAGGGUGCAUCCUGGUUUUCAGUCCUCUUUUGGAUGGUUAUUACUCUCAUGAGUAUUUAAAAAAAUCAAAUCCAUGGGGUUAGACUCAUUGUUGAUAUUGUUGUGGUAUUACAGUUGAAUAAGUUAUAUAGUCUUUACAAUUGCUUUUAGGGUGCAUCCUGGUUUUCAGUUCUCUUUUGGAUGGUUAUUACUCUCAUGAGUAUUUUCCGACGCUUCCGGGACAAAGACACUAUAGCCGUGGGGAAUACAGAAGAACGCAGACCCAUGCUGUCAUAAAAAUAUUAAAAGUGCAUCUUGGUUUUCUGUUCUCUUCUGGUUAAUCAUCUCCAUCCUGUCCAUCAUCAGACGUGUUAGAGAUAAACCAACGUUGGAUCCAAACUCGGACAAGGCAGCCAUCACACCCAAUGC
rnacentral:misc_RNA from 1 species